rnacentral:rRNA from 1 species
AUGUCGACCACAGGUAUGAAGACUGUGUCAUGCCCCAUCUUUGACAGUCACGAGUAUCCCAAGUGGAAGGCCAUGAUGAAGAAGCGCCUUAUGGUAACAAACAGCGAGCUGUGGACCGUCACUGAGAUUGGUCUGACCGAUCUGUGCAAAAUGGCGGAAGCUAAUGACAUUCGCAAGUACACUCUUCUCAACCUCACGGCGAAGGACGUCAUCUGCUCCUGUCUAUCUCAAAAUCAGUUUAGGAAUGUCAUGCAUCUCGAUCAUGCAAAGCUCAUCUGGAACCGUCUCUCGGAGGUUUAUGAAGGUCAUCGAACUCGUCAUGAUCCUCGGUUCGAGGACUUUAAGGAGUCACUCAAAGCGAUGACUUUCGAACCAGAAUCAUCAUCUUCUGCAUCAUGCCUUAUGGCAAAUGAUGCUAAGUCCUUAAUUGAAGACAUAAAAAAUCUUCAUAUUAAAUAUGAGGAGCUUGAAAGUCGUCAUGAGACGCUCUUAACAACUCAUGAAGAACUCGAGAAAUUGAGAGCGGCUCAUGAAGAUCUUCAAAAGGAAAACGAGUCACUUCGCGCCGAACAGAUCAGUUCAGCUCAGGAAGGAUUUGAACCACCAUGUCUUAAAUGUAUUGAGCAUGAUAACGCUACUUCUGUUGCUGAAUGUUCUAUUGCUGCUACUGUUGCAAUAUCUUCAACUGUUGAUGUGGAAACUAACCCCUCUGCUGAGGAGACCACUGCUAUUGCUGAUGAGAAUGCUAGGUUGAAGACACUGCUUGAAACAGGGAUGUACAAAAGUCUCAAAGGGCAUCAGACACUAUGUGAUGUCCUCAAAAGGCAGAUCCUGAACCGAAACCCUAGGAAAGAGGGUGUUGGGUUCGUAAGGAAAAUGAAUGAUGAUGACUCUUACUGGAAACCUGAGCAGUACCCCAAAACCACAUGGGUUGCUACAAAGGAACCUUCAGCAGAUCCAUCCACUCUAUCUGGCUUCACUUGUGCUAACCCCAUUGUUAUUGAUGAAUCCUUUGAUGCAAACUAUAAACUGUUUAAGAAUCAGAAUGGUGAAGUGUUUGCCAGGUAUAUUGGUACUAACUGCAGGAAUGGACCAACUAUGAAGAAGAUCUGGGUGCCGAAAAGGUGUUUGGAGAAUCUUCCUGUGAAUGUCAUAAUGACACCACAGGUGAAGAAGACAAACCCCAGACCACAGGCCUCAUACGGUCCAAAGGCUUCAUACAGACAGAGGACUCACCUGAGUCACACUAACGCAAAUGUUUUGCAGGGAAGCCAUACUCAGGCCUAUGAAUAUGAGCGCGGUUCAUCAAACCGCCAUGUUCAUAAGACCAAGAACUAUUCUGCUUAUUUUUAUGAAUACUAUUGUCUAUCUGCAAGACUUUUUGCUAGGGCUCCAAAGCCAAAAUUCUCAGAUGCUGCACUUAGACUUAUUGCUUCAAAGCCACCCCUAAAGAUGUGGGUGACUAAGAAAGCUUAA